AAGGUACAUCAAAGGGGAAAGGCAAAGAAAAAGAGUAACUAAGGUGUACCUAAAGAUUUUGAAAAGAAUUGACAAAAGGUUUGGUGUUUAUAUGACUUUCUGUUUUCCUUUGAUUCUGUCAUGAAUAAGUGAAAUUAGGGGUUGAUUUUACUUGCUGGAAAUGUUGCUUUGAUUGUAUGGAUAUUUCAUAUGAAUGGUGAAAUGAUGAUUGGCAGGUUUAAAGCACAUAGAUACAACAUGGGAGCCAAAAACAUAAAACUGGCAGAAUAGGUUCCAACAGGACAGUCUGUGUUAGAAGCCUCAUAACUUAUUGUGUAUUCAUUAAAAUUAAGCCUAGCAUAUACCAAAUGAAAGCUAAGACAAAAAGCUAAAACUUUCAUGAAGUAACCAAAGUCUGAAUCUGUAGCUAAUUAUGUGAAAAUUGCUAGUGAACCUAAGCUGGUCACAGGGAAUUGUGCAUCCGGAGCAGUAUGUAUCUCCUAGACCAUAACUAAUGAUUUACUCAAUGAAAUGAAUUAAGACCAGUGCCAAAUGAACCCUGAAAAGUAUACCUAAAACUUUGUACAAGAAAGUUAAGCUUGAAUCUGUAUGCAAAUGUAUGCAUAUGAUAGAUUUUGUUAGAUUAAAAACAGAUCCCAAAACUGUACUGGUUAGGACCUGAUUGAGCAGGUUGCAAAGAAAAAUUCAUAACUUAAGUUAGGAAGGUCAGAAUUAGAUGUAAUAUAUCUUGUUAGAAAGCUAAGACAUAAAUACACAACGUUCAUGAAGAAAAGUAAGUCUAAUUGUGUCCAUAAGAUACUUAAAAAUGUGAUACAAUCUCAGGCAGAAACAAAGCUAAAUGUAAAUAUUGACCUAAAAGGGAUUGACAUGCUAGCUUUGUGGCCAAAUUAUGCACAUGCUAGCUUGACAUGCCUGCUUUAUACACGUGCUAGCUUAAUAGACUAAAACUUUACACACAUGUUCUUGAUGAAAUAGUAAUAUGUUUGUGGCUGAAUCAUAUGCUCAUAAGUGAAUAUGGUCUAUGACACACAUGUGAAUGCUCUUAAGGACUCUUUUUAUCGAUAUGCUUGCUUAUGAAUAUCUAGUUCGACAUCUUUGCUUGUUUCAACAUGUUAAGCAUCUAAAUGAAUAAUUUUGAUACCAAUAAAUAUUUAACAUAUACAUAUGCAUUCUUGGCCCUAGUAAACCUCAGUAGGAGUCAUAAAUAGUAUAAGGGUAUGGCAUGCCAUAUACAGUUUAGCAGUCCUGCGCCCUAAUGGGAUACAUGAUAUGAUAUUUUCGACACAUUACGUGUCAUACAGUUUUUCGGCUUUUUAGCCAUACAGACACAGCAUUCGGCCCCCAGGCCAUACAGUUUGGCACUUUGUGCUAUACAGAUAUAGUUUUCCCUUAUCUAGCUAGUUGAUCCUACGAAGAGUUUAUAGGGGCUANNNNNNNNNNNNNNNNNNNNNNNNNNNNNNNNNNNNNNNNNNNNNNNNNNNCUGAUGUUUUAAAGGUUAAGUCUGGUAAUUUGUAAAGAAAAGUUAGGAGUCGAGUUGGAUCAUGUAUGGGAUUUUAUCAGGUACACAGAGUUCAUAGCAGGCUUACUACGGGUCCCGGCGGCCUUAAGCCGAUCUGGAUCCUAGUGCCGAGCACUUUGGGCCGUUACAGAGAGGUACCGGUUUCCGGGGUGUUACAGAUGGUAUCAGAGCAUAGGGCCUCCUAAGUACGGUGUGUUGAACAUUUUUGUUCAAGGAUUAGAGAUAUCCCACAUCGGAAAGAGGUUGGGUUAGAUGUUCUAGGAAGGCAAAGCACAAUAAGUAUACUCAUGUCCACUAAGAUAGGAAGUUGUUUUGCAUGCUGAUGUGAAAUACACAUGUAUAUUCAUGGGUAUUACUGUUAUGUUAUGUAUGCAUGUAUAUGUUGUAGGUUCAUGUGUUUUCAUAUGAACUCUAUGUGUGCUAAUGAUUGUGUCUUGUGUGCUGUUCUUCAGGAGAGCUAAGAUGAGUGAUGCUGGUUACCUUGUGGAAUCAGAUUCGUCUGAAGAGUCUUUUGAGGAAAUUAGAGAAGGAAUAGAUCUAGGAAGAAUGGCAGGAAACAGGAGAGAGACAGGAGGAGAUGUGCAAAGAAAGAAUAUAGGUAUACAGGUGAAUUUGAAUGAAGAGGUUUUAGAGGAUGCUCAACCCAAGGACUCUAGGAUAGGAGAGAAUGAACCCUCCACUUGGAGUACAGCUACCGCGAAAGGAGUGAUGUGGGGGAGAACCAGUAAGAAAAAGGUUAGAGGCUUGAGACGGUCAAAGAAAAAUAAGAGUCUAGGUGAUGAUGCCGGUGUAAGUUCUGGUAGAGGCAGAGCAAAACGUUUGAGGUGUGGAAGGUUGCAUAAGGGAGUUUGUCUUGUUGGUACGACAGGAUGUUAUAGGUGUGGACAGGAGGGACAUGUGAUGCGUGAGUGUCCUUUUGCGCCCCAAUUGAUUCAGUCUCAGAGAAUAGAUACAGAUAGAAUAGUUCAGGCUGAUAGGCAAGGAGGAGAGGCUGACACAUUUGACACCUCUGUACCAGGUAUGCUCAUUUGUUUUGAGUGAUCUGAUGUGUGUUUUGAGGACCCUAGUAGGACAAAAGAGAUAAGGAGUCAACGAAGAGUUAAGAGAGAGAGUUGAGAUGUUAUAAUCUCAGGUUGUUACAACCUCAGGAAUAGUGAGAAUUGAUUUUCUCCAAAAGAAUAAGAGUAUGAGAAUAUAAGUUAGAGCAAGAAGAGUAAAGUAAAUAAGAUAAAGCAGAAAACAAAACAAGAGACAGAAAACGACGAGUAAGCACUAGAUCAAAGUAAGGUAAAAGGAAGAAGUAAAGAUAAGUUCAGAAAGAGGUUAGAGCCAGUCUGAGAUUGGGUGGUAGUUGAGGCAGUGAGGCAGAGAAAAGGGUCAGUCUUUUCUUGAAAGAUUCCCGAGGGAAGUUCCAUUCGUUUUAGCACCCUGACGUAAUAGGAGACUAACACAUCGAAUACGGCGACGUUAGGUACGUUCGUUUGUAAGUAUUCGGAUGUGUAUACUGUUUGUGUUGGACCCCAGUGUUUCGCUUUCCUUGUUGUUGUGAGCUGUUGGUAGGAUGGGUUUGAUGACUUCUGGGCUUAGAGUGUGUUUCUUGGGUCAGUGGACCUAAGUGUAUGAUCCAUCUGAAGCAGAGUCAGUCAGUUCAGUUCAGAGUUUGUGGUGAGUAGAUGCGAUCCAGCUGACCUUAUGGUUCUAGAGUUGACUGUGUGAUGUCAUUCUAGGGCGGAUUGGCUAGUUACUCACAGUACUACCUGUGUCAGCAGCGACAAGGUAGGAGAGGUCAGGGUAUAGGAUGGAUCUGUGGUAGUCCAAGGACAGUGUAUAGAGGUGCCUAGAAGGUGAUGUCAGCCCUACAGGCUCACAGUUAUUCAGGAAAGGUUAUCAGAGGGUUGUUUUCGCUCUUGUGAGUAAGUUUGUCAGGAUAGGGAAUCAGCCUCAGUGCCAUUGCUAGUGGGUACUAGCAUACUGUCAGGUUUACCAUCUGUUAGGAAAGUAGAGAUAGGAGUGAAAAUGGUAUCUGGACGCAGAACCAUUUCUUUCUUUCCUUUCCCUACCGAAUGGCACCUGCAGAGAGAGCUAAGAGUUAGCAGAAUAGUGGACAGUUUGGAUAGACAAGGUUUUAUCUGACUUAGUACUUCACCCUGGAAUGUUGCCAGUGUUGUUGUGGGAAACGAAGGAUGAUUCCUUAAGAUUUGAUUGUUACAGAUUAGGAUUCCUAGUUAAGGUUGAUGAUCUACUAGCUGGUCUAAUUAAGUUGAUUGGAGUUACAGAUUGGUAUAAAGGCGGGUAAGGAUUAGGAGUACAGAUUGGUGUCGAACCUACAAAUUGGUGUCGAACCUACAGAUUGGUCUCUGUUGAGAAUUCACGAGUGAGAGUUUCACAAAGAGAUUAGUUUAGUUCAGAUGAAAAGUGAAGAGUAAGGAUCAGAGUAGCGCAGCGAAAGCUGUGGAGUUCAAAAAAGAUUAGGAUACUAAUUCUGGAAUAUGGACUCAGAUCAGGAUAAUAGAGUGUCAGAAAUUCUCUUUUUGCAGAGAAGUGUGAGGCUUUACUUGCCUGUUAUUUGUUUGUUUUGUUUUAACAUUCGAGGACGAAUGUUUUUAAAGGGGGGAAGAUUGUAAUACCCGGCUAAAUCAGACACUAGAAUUCCUACCGUCCGGUGGAAUUCAAGGAUGUCAGAAUUUUCUAGAAGGGGAGAGUGAAGGUUUUCUAAAAGAUUGUUAAGCAUGAUUGUUAGUUUAAGGAUUUGACUAGAAUAGAAUUGAGGUUUGAAGAGAAAAGGUUAUGGGGACAAAGGCCAGGUUCGGCCGCCGAAGGUAAGUUCGGCUGCCGAAAGUGCCCAAUGUUCGGCCCCCGAAGGUGAUGUUCGGCCCCCGAAAGUUGCAUGGUUUUGCAUGCAGUUUCGGCAGCCGAAGCUGAGCUGGUCAGCCAGCUAUUGUGCACUCCUCAGUCGGUGAAAUGGCCAGCUCUUGCUUCCAAAUCACAGACAGAGGGUUAUGCCACGUCUCCCAUGACUCAUCUGCAAGCUUUUAUCAGCUCAUGCAGAGGGUUUGGUCGCGUUUCAUUAGCUUUGAAAGGUUUUGAGAGAAAAGAGUGGUUUUGGUGGUUUGAAGCUUGUGAAGGGGAUUUGCUGAGUUCAAGUUGUUCCUCUUCUGGUUUCAGGAGGUAAGGGAAGUCUGUACACUUGUUUUAAUGGUUUUUCACAGGUUUUAAAGAAGAUAGGGAAGUUUAUGCGUGAGUUGCAUACUUAGGUUUUUAAGUGAGUUUUUGAUGUAUUUAAUGGUUUAUGUAUGUUUAUGUGUUAUGUUUGUUGUGUUUUGUUGGGGUUAUUAGAUAGUUUUGGACCCCUUUGUUCAUAUACCUGAGUAUAUGCAAGUUGAAGGUGGAGUUAUGCAUGUGUGGAGUGGGGUUGGUGCUUGGCAGGCUUGUUCAUGCACGAAGCUGAGUUCUGGAUGAACUCAGGUUCGGCCGCCGAAGGGAGGAUUCGGCCGCCGAACCCCUUGUGAAGCAGUUUCGGCUGCCUAAGGUUGCUUCCGAAAGAAUGGACUUUCGGAUCUGUCAUGCACAUUCGGCCGCCGAAGGUGCCGCCGAAGGUGUCCUGCCAGCUUGUCUUUGCAUGUUUUAAGUGAAUGUCUUAUGAGCUUAGAAGGGUUUUGGGAAGUUGUUUAAGAGUUAAUAAGAGUAUGUUUGACACCUCAAUCGAGUCCUUUUGUGUAGGAUUGGACCCGGCAGUUCUGGGAGGUCGUCAGGAUUAGCAGUUGCAGAGUCAGUCAGGUUUCUGCUUGAGGAGCAGAGGUGAGUAGAACUAAACUUAAUCUUUUAUACUGAGAAAUGGAAUGUAUGAGUAUAGUACAUGCAUCAUGAAUGCUAUGAGUUAUAUUAGGGUGAUUUGCAUUAGAAUCACGAAGCUGUUGCAUUGCCUUAUUCAAUGAUAGUGGGAAUUGGACCAAGGCGACAUCAAUAGCCCUUAGAGGGAGUUUUGAGGUCAUGUCUAAUUCCAGAUGAUUGGACCCAGGCGACAUCAAUAGCCCGUCGAGGGAGUUUUGAGGUCAUGUCCAAUCAAUGAUGUGGAAUGUAUGAGUUGUGAUGCAUUUUCAUAUAAAGUGCGUAUGAAUGAACUGUUUUCAGUGUUUCUACUCACUGGGCUUUAUAGCUCAUCCCUUUCCCUUAAUCCCAGUUUUGCAGGUAUAGAGAGUAGCUGGGAAGGGUAGAAGCAACAGAGUUAUGCUACAGGAUUGCAUGUGUAAUAGUAUAGUGUGGACAUGAUGUAAUUAAAGAGAUAUAUGUGAAAGUGAUGUAAUAGUUAGUCAGUUAAUGUCUAAAUGAGUUAGAAUGUGCUUUUGCCUAUUGUCUAUAGUAUGUUUUAUCCCUUGUGUAUGCAUGUAUCCUGUUUUCAGUUUCUUGAUGAGAAAUGAGUCAAACCAGGCUUAAUAGAUGUUGUGUUUCAAAAACCCAGUGAAUGAUAACUGUGGGGGAAGAUAGGGUUUAAGUCCCUUGACCCAAGACCAGUGCAGAGGGAAGAUCAGGUUUAAUUCCUGUGACCUAUAGAGAGGCCAUUAGAGAAGACCAGGUUUGAUUCCUGUGACUCUAUGGUAGCCAAGGUUAACUUAUGAUAUGCUGACCCUACAGAGUGGGUUCUAUGUUUCAAAGCAUAGUGCAUGGAGGUUACUUGGUAGAGUAUCACUGGGUUAGCCCUGAGGGCUAUUUCAGAUUGCGAUGUCUGAUGUUUUAAAGGUUAAGUCUGGUAAUUUGUAAAGAAAAGUUAGGAGUCGAGUUGGAUCAUGUAUGGGAUUUUAUCAGGUACACAGAGUUCAUAGCAGGCUUACUACGGGUCCCGGCGGCCUUAAGCCGAUCUGGAUCCUAGUGCCGAGCACUUUGGGCCGUUACAGAGAGGUACCGGUUUCCAGGGUGUUAUACUAUGAAUUUCUUGUUAUGCCUUUUGGGUUAACGAAUGCUCCUGCUUCUUUCAUGGAUUUAAUGAACCGCAUCUUUCAUCCCUACCUGGAUCAGUUUGUUGUAGUGUUCAUAGAUGACAUCUUGAUAUACUCAAAGUCUAAGGAAGAACAUGAUCAACAUUUGAGGAUAGUAUUACAGACUCUGAGAGAGAAACAACUUUAUGCCAAGCUUAGUAAAUGUGAGUUUUGGCUAAAUGAUAUAUCCUUUCUUGGGCAUGUUGUGUCAGCUGAAGGAAUCAGAGUAGACCCUAAAAAGAUAGAAGCUAUCCUUGAAUGGAAACCACCUAAGAAUGUAGCAGAGACUAGGAGUUUUCUGGGUUUGGCUGGAUACUAUAGGCGGUUUGUAAAGGGAUUUUCAAUCAUUGCUGCCCCAUUGACUAAAUUGUUGCACAAGAAUGUUAAAUAUGACUGGGAUGAUAAAUGCCAGGAGAGUUUUGAAAAGCUUAAAAAGAUGCUUACAGAGGCACCUGUCCUUACACAGCCAGAGUCGGGUAAAGAUUUUGUGAUCUACAGUGAUGCCUCACAUAAUGGACUGGGUUGUGUACUCAUGCAGGAGGGGAAGGUAGUUGCUUAUGCUUCAAGACACUUAAAGCCACAUGAGAAGAACUACCCUACCCAUGAUUUAGAGUUAGCAGCCAUAGUCUUUGCAUUAAAGAUAUGGAGGCAUUACUUGUAUGGAGAAAAAUGUUAUAUCUAUACAGAUCAUAAAAGUUUAAAGUAUUUGCCCACACAAAAGGAGCUUAACCUGAGACAGAGAAGAUGGUUAGAGUUGCUUAAGGAUUAUGACUGCAUUAUUGACUAUCAUCCAGGUAAAGCCAAUCUGGUAGCAGAUGCACUUAGCAGGAAAUCCUUUGCUGCUUUAAGAGCUUUGAAUGCUCGUCUAUCUUUAGCCAAUGAUGGGGCUAUCAUAGCAGAACUAAAGCUUAGACCCAAUCUACUUCACCAAGUCCAGGAAGCACAGAAAGGGGAUACUGAAACAACUUUGUGGAUAAGGCAAGUCCAAGAGGGGAAAAAGCAGAAACAUGUGGUUCAGGAUGAUGGCUAUUUGUAUUAUGAAGGUAGAAUAUGUGUACCUAAUGUUGAUGACCUGAGGAAGAACAUUCUGGAGGAAGCACAUAGUAGUUCAUAUGCUAUGCAUCCUGGUAGCACUAAAAUGUAUCAAGAUUUGAAACUGCAUUAUUGGUGGCCAGGUAUGAAGAAAGAUAUAGUUGAAUUUGUGGCUACAUGUCUGACUUGUCAGCAGGUGAAAGCUGAGCAUCAAGUUCCAUCUGGUCUUUUACACCCUAUUUCCAUACCAGAAUGGAAGUGGGAUAGGAUCACUAUGGAUUUUGUUGUGGGAUUGCCACUGACACCAAGGAAAAAAGAUGCCAUAUGGGUGAUUGUAGAUAGAUUGACUAAGUCAGCUCAUUUCUUGCCAGUGAGAACUGAUUACUCAUUGGAGAAAUAUGCAGAAUUAUAUAUCACUGACAUAGUUCGAUUACAUGGAGUACCUCUUUCCAUUAUUUCAGAUAGGGACCCGAGGUUCACAUCCAGAUUUUGGGAGAAAUUGCAUGAAGCAUUGGGUACUAAGUUGAACUUUAGUACAGCUUUUCAUCCUCAAACAGAUGGGCAAUCUGAAAGGGUAAUUCAAACACUGGAAGAUAUGCUUAGAAGUUGUAUGAUUGAAUUCGAAGGGAGCUGGGAGAGAUACCUUCCAUUGGUUGAAUUUGCAUACAACAACAGUUAUCAAGCAAGUAUCAAAAUGGCACCUUAUGAAGCAUUGUACGGAAGGAAAUGUAGAACUCCAUUGUGCUGGACAGAACUCAGUGAAGCUAAAAUGAUAGGUCCAGACUUGGUGAGGGAAACAGAAGAGAAAGUGAGAACUAUAAAGGAAAGGUUGAAAGCAGCUUCAGAUAGACAGAAGUCUUAUGCAGAUUUGAAGAGAAAAGAUAUAGCAUAUGAAGUUGGAGAUAAAGUGUUUCUUAAAGUCUCUCCAUGGAAAAGGGUGCUCAGAUUUGGCAAAAAGGGAAAGUUAAGUCCUAGGUUUAUCGGUCCAUAUGAGAUAAUUGAACGUGUGGGUCCGGUAGCCUACAGGUUAGCAUUACCCCCUGGAUUAGAUAAGAUACAUAAUGUCUUCCAUGUAUCCAUGCUGAGAAGAUACAGAUCUGAUCCUUCUCAUGUCAUUUCUUCUGAGACAAUUGAUAUUCAACCUGAUUUGACUUAUGAGGAGGAACCAGUGAAGAUUUUAGCACGAGAAAUAAAGGAGCUGAGGAAUAAGAAGAUUCCAUUAGUGAAGAUUCUUUGGAGAAACCACAAAACAGAGGAAGCUACAUGGGAAAGUGAGGAAUUAAUGAGGCAACAACACCCUCAGCUAUUUAUGACAGGUAAAUUUCGAGGACGAAUUUUUUUUAAAGGAGGGGAGAAUUGUGACAUUCCAAAACCUACAGAUAGAAAUAGAGCAACCAUUAGCUUUAAAUUGUACCAUUUUAAAGUUAGAGUAAUUAGCUUUAGGGGAGGUGCUAGCUUGACCUCGAGCUGAUUAGGGGAGGUGCUAGCUUAUCCAUAGCCGUCUGACACACAAUUCGUUUAAAGAUAGAGCACUAAAAGUUGUGUUUAGAGGUCUAACUUGCAUUUCAUAUAGAGUUAUACGUCCAAAGGUAGAGUUAAAAUAAGAACGACCAGUACUAGUAUUUUAACAUCUUCAAACUGUAAUAACUGAAUCAUAGAAAACCCAAAUAAGAAAACAAACAUAUCUUAAAAUAAAGUAUCUAACGUGAUAAGCAGGUCGGAAUCAAGUUGCUAUUGGGAGGUGCUGAAGGGUUUCCCGACGUGCUAGCUUGAGGUGCUUCCUAAAACCGACAUGCUUGCUUAAAUGAAAUGAACUUCUAAAUAUUAAAAAUGUAAGUUUAGUAGGUCAAUCUAUGAAUAUUGAAAGUUUAAAAACUAAAUUGAAACAUGUGGAAAAGUUUAGUAGGUGAAAGUGUGAAUAUGGAAAGUUUAAAAGUAAAAUUCCAAGUUUGCCUUCCACCUUUUUCUAUAUUUACACCUAACCCACCAUUUGACACCUAGCCAUGCAUGACUAAGCAUGAAAUGGAAAGUUGUCUUCAUUUGGUCCAUCCUUGCCGUGGCUACACCAAAAGGAAAGAGAAAAAGGCUUUUGCUUUCUUAACUUUCAUCUCCACCAUAGUUCUCCAAAAAGACAAAGCUUUCACCCAUGCACAAUCUGUUCUUAGGUGUUCUAACCAGCAAAGGAACCAUAGAAAGAAAGGAAAGAAGAAGAGAAGUUAAGGUGCUUAAGUGGUAAGUGAUGAAAUUGAAAACUAGGUUAGGUAAAUAUAUUCUUUCAUGUUUCAAUUAAUUAUAUGUUGCUAAAUGAAUUAAAGCUCCUGUUUUUCUUAUUCUUUGUAAAGAACAAACUCAAAGGGAGGAAGGUACAUCAAAGGGGAAAGGCAAAGAAAAAGAGUAACUAAGGUGUACCUAAAGAUUUUGAAAAGAAUUGACAAAAGGUUUGGUGUUUAUAUGACUUUCUGUUUUCCUUUGAUUCUGUCAUGAAUAAGUGAAAUUAGGGGUUGAUUUUACUUGCUGGAAAUGUUGCUUUGAUUGUAUGGAUAUGUCAUAUGAAUGGUGAAAUGAUGAUUGGCAGGUUUAAAGCACAUAGAUACAACAUGGGAGCCAAAAACAUAAAACUGGCAGAAUAGGUUCCAACAGGACAGUCUGUGUUAGAAGCCUCAUAACUUAUUGUGUAUUCAUUAAAAUUAAUCCUAGCAUAUACCAAAUGAAAGCUAAGACAAAAAUCUAAAACUUUCAUGAAGUAACCAAAGUCUGAAUCUGUAGCUAAUUAUGUGAAAAUUGCUAGUGAACCUAAGUUGGUCACAGGGAAUUGUGCAUCCGGAGCAGUAUGUAUCUCCUAGACCAUAACUAAUGAUUUACUCAAUGAAAUGAAUUAAGACCAGUGCCAAAUGAACCCUGAAAAGUAUACCUAAAACUUUGUACAAGAAAGUUAAGCUUGAAUCUGUAUGCAAAUGUAUGCAUAUGAUAGAUUUUGUUAGAUUAAAAACAGAUCCCAAAACUGUACUGGUUAGGACCUGAUUGAGCAGGUUGCAAAAAAAAAUUCAUAACUUAAGUUAGGAAGGUCAGAAUUAGAUGUAAUAUAUCUUGUUAGAAAGCUAAGACAUAAAUACACAACGUUCAUGAAGAAAAGUGAGUCUAAUUGUGUCCAUAAGAUACUUAAAAAUGUGAUACAAUCUCAGGCAGAAACAAAGCUAAAUGUAAAUAUUGACCUAAAAGGGAUUGACAUGCUAGCUUUGUGGCCAAAUUAUGCACAUGCUAGCUUGACAUGCCUGCUUUAUACACGUGCUAGCUUAAUAGACUAAAACUUUACACACAUGUUCUUGAUGAAAUAGUAAUAUGUUUGUGGCUGAAUCAUAUGCUCAUAAGUGAAUAUGGUCUAUGACACAUAUGUGAAUGCUCUUAAGGACUCUUUUUAUCGAUAUGCUUGCUUAUGAAUAUCUAGUUCGACAUCUUUGCUUGUUUCAACAUGUUAAGCAUCUAAAUGAAUAAUUUUGAUACCAAUAAAUAUUUAACAUGUACAUAUGCAUUCUUGGCCCUAGUAAACCUCAGUAGGAGUCAUAAAUAGUAUAAGGGUAUGGCAUGCCAUAUACAGUUUAGCAGUACUGCGCCCUAAUGGGAUACAUGAUAUGAUAUUUUCGACACAUUACGUGUCAUACAGUUUUUCGGCUUUUUAGCCAUACAGACACAGCAUUCGGCCCCCAGGCCAUACAGUUUGGCACUUUGUGCUAUACAGAUAUAGUUUUCCCUUAUCUAGCUAGUUGAUCCUACGAAGAGUUUAUAGGGGCUAAGAUUUAAUUAUAUGACUUGUUAAUGCUUUGCUAGCAUGCAUACAAGAUGGUUACCAAAAUAUGAAUGAUCUUACUGCUAUAAAAUUUAAUGUCCUG
rnacentral:lncRNA from 1 species